rnacentral:rRNA from 1 species
AGCGAACGCUGGCGGCAGGCUUAACACAUGCAAGUCGAGCGGGCGUAGCAAUACGUCAGCGGCAGACGGGUGAGUAACGCGUGGGAACGUACCUUUUGGUUCGGAACAACCCAGGGAAACUUGGGCUAAUACCGGAUAAGCCCUUACGGGGAAAGAUUUAUCGCCAAAAGAUCGGCCCGCGUCUGAUUAGCUUGUUGGUGAGGUAACGGCUCACCAAGGCGACGAUCAGUAGCUGGUCUGAGAGGAUGAUCAGCCACAUUGGGACUGAGACACGGCCCAAACUCCUACGGGAGGCAGCAGUGGGGAAUAUUGGACAAUGGGCGCAAGCCUGAUCCAGCCAUGCCGCGUGAGUGAUGAAGGCCCUAGGGUUGUAAAGCUCUUUUGUGCGGGAAGAUAAUGACUGUACCGCAAGAAUAAGCCCCGGCUAACUUCGUGCCAGCAG